UCCCUGGUGGUCUAGUGGCUAGGAUUUGGCAGGCUCACUGCCGUGGCCUGCAUUCAAUUCCCGGUAGGGGAA